rfam:Caprimulgus carolinensis contig16660, whole genome shotgun sequence.
GACGAGGUGGCCGAGCGGUGAAGGCGAGGGACUGCUAAUCCAUUGUGCUCUGCACGCGUGGGUUCGAAUCCCACCCUCGUCG